rnacentral:lncRNA from 1 species
UGAUUUUUUACAAGGGAAACAUCAAAAGGCAUAUUACUCUGCACGUUACUGCAUUAAAUAUGUGAGACAAUUAAUAGUAUCAUAACGGAACCAAAUGCACCCUGUUUAAUUUCAUUAAAUUUUGGUGUUUAAAACUAGAAGGUUAUUUUAGUACUUUUAACCCAUAGUUUAUACAAAAUUAAUACAAAAAUUCAACUUCUUAAUAAGUGUGCAAAUGAGAAUAUUUGCUUACAAUUGAGGCCAGAGGGAGUAUUACUCUGCACGUUACUGCAUUAAAUAUGUGAGACAAUUAAUAGUAUCAUAACGGAACCAAAUGCACCCUGUUUAAUUUCAUUAAAUUUUGGUGUUUAAAACUAGAAGGUUAUUUUAGUACUUUUAACCCAUAGUUUAUACAAAAUUAAUACAAAAAUUCAACUUCUUAAUAAGUGUGCAAAUGAGAAUAUUUGCUUACAAUUGAGGCCAGAUUUUCUCCUAUCAAUAACCAAUGUGAACUGCAACUACAUCACCAAUCUUUGUCUUUCAUCAGCAUCCUCAUGCUCCACCUCAACAAGGA